ACCAGCAAACAUUUUUUUUUCCUAUUUGAGUCUACGCCCACCGGGACAACAAGCACCACUUUGAUCAUGUCAUUCCUUUCCACUCUCAGAAAUUCCACCUCACACUUCUUCCACCAUUUCUCAAUCCAACGCCUCCAAAUCCUUCACACUUCUUCUUCGCCGUCGCUACUCAACGCUCGCAACGGUCUUUUCGCCGCCAUUAUCGCCGGCACCAGUCUAGGGUAUGUUCUCUACACCACCGACUUUGACUCAACUCACUUUCAAUCUUCAAUCUCUUCCUUCGUUGACCGUUCAACACCGAAUUCACCUUCAUUUCUUACGAAAUUCUCCCUUCCUGAAACUUCUGGAGCCUUCCUUUUUCGAGAAGCUUAUAGGAGAAAGGUCUUCUUCAAUUAUGAGAAGCGUAUACGGUUGCGAAGUCCUCCCGAAAAGGUUUUUGAAUACUUCGCAUCUCAUCGAUCACCAGAAGGAGAAGUACUCAUGAUACCAGCAGACCUAAUGAGAGCUGUAGUUCCUGUUUUCCCUCCAUCUGAAUCUCACCUUGUUAGAGACGGAUACUUGAGAGGAGAAAGAAGCCCUGGCCAUUUACGCUGUUCUCCUUCAGAAUUCUUUAUGCUCUUUGAUGUAAACAAUGACGGGCUUAUAUCUUUUAAAGAGUAUAUCUUUUUUGUAACACUUCUCAGCAUCCCAGAAUCAAGCUUUUCUGUGGCAUUUAAAAUGUUUGACGUGGACAAUAAUGGGGAGAUAACUAAGGAGGAAUUCCAGAAAGUGAUGGCAUUGAUGCGAUCUCAUCAUCGACAAGGUGUUCAACACAGGGAUGGACUGCGAACUGGCCUAAAGGUGAAUGAUUCCGUGGAAAAUGGAGGGCUGUUGGAAUACUUUUUUGGUAAAGACGGAAAGGGUUGCCUCCAACUUGAUAAAUUUGUAAUUUUUUUGCAAGACUUGCAUGAUGAAGCUUUGGCUCUACACAAGCUUCUACCCUCUGGUGUUUUGCUCUUAUGUUAGGGAGGAUUCUUUAUCUUCCAAAUGCACUAUUCUCAGACUGGAGUUUGAUCAUUAUGACUACAAAUCUCGAAAAGCAAUUUCAGCCAAGGACUUUGCACUCUCCAUGGUUGCUUCCGCCGACAUGAGUCAUCUAGGCAAGUUGCUUGAACGGGUUGAUGAACUGAAUAAUGAGCCAUGCUUUAAGGAUGUCCGCAUCAGAUUUGAGGAUUUCAAAAACUUCGCAGAGCUACGGAAAAAGUUACUUCCAUUAUCAUUAGCCCUUUUCAGUUUUGGAAAAGUAAAUGGCCUGUUGACGAGAGAUGAUUUUCAGCGAGCAGCGUCACAUGUUUGCGGCAUAUCUCUCUCGGACAACGUGGUUGAGAUUGUUUUUCAUUUGUUUGAUACAAAUCGAGACGGAAACCUAAGUACAGAUGAGUUUGUCAGAGUGCUACACAAGCGAGAAAGGGACAUUGGACAUCCUGUGGAGACAGGAAUGCUUGGUUUGCUGUCUUGCUGCUGGAACUGUAGAGAAAACAUCUCAUCUUCACGCUUCUUUUCCUGACAAUUAAAAUUACUUUCACAUCCAUUAUAUACCAGAAAUGAUACAGUUAAUAUGAGCUUUUGUUUGGAAGGGAGAAAAGAACAAGAUAAAGGAAGAAGGAGGCUGGUGAUAAUUGUCUGAAGGUUUCAGUAAAACUUAUUUCUAUGAAGCCAACACAUCACUUCUUAAUAUCACCUGAGUUUUCUGUUUUUUGAGGAAUACACCUUAGUUUUUACCUACUUUACUGUUGAAAAAGAAAAGGUGGGCACAAAAAUAAUCAUUGUUGACAGCUUAUAAAUAGCAAACAUGUGUUGUUCUAACUUGUAAAAUAAUUCUGCCACUGAGGUGGUCGGCUUUGAGGGUUGACAUGUCUGACAGUUGUAACUACUUUGCCAUGUAAAUAGUGACACUUUCCAGCUUUAUAACCAAUAGUAGUAUUUAUUUUCUUCAAAA